CUCCUGGAAACGGGUGGUAAUGCCGGAUGUUCCACAUGAGCGCAUGCGAGUGUGGGAAAGGCUUUUUGCGGCAUGGGAUGGGGUCGCGUCCUAUCAGCUUGUUGGUGGGGUAACGGCCUACCAAGGCGUUGACGGGUAGCCGGCCUGAGAGGGCGACCGGCCACAUUGGGACUGAGAUACGGCCCAGACUCCUACGGGAGGCAGCAGUGGGGAAUAUUGCACAAUGGGCGCAAGCCUGAUGCAGCGACGCCGCGUGCGGGAUGGAGGCCUUCGGGUUGUAAACCGCUUUUGUUCAAGGGCAAGGCACGGUUUCGGCCGUGUUGAGUGGAUUGUUCGAAUAAGCACCGGCUAACUACGUGCCAGCAGCCGCGGUAAUACGUAGGGUGCAAGCGUUAUCCGGAUUUAUUGGGCGUAAAGGGCUCGUAGGCGGUUCGUCGCGUCCGGUGUGAAAGUCCAUCGCUUAACGGUGGAUCCGCGCCGGGUACGGGCGGGCUUGAGUGCGGUAGGGGAGACUGGAUUCCCGGUGUAACGGUGGAAUGUGUAGAUAUCGGGAAGAACACCC
rnacentral:rRNA from 1 species